rfam:Trichinella pseudospiralis scaffold92s, whole genome shotgun sequence.
CCAACGGUCCUUAUCAGGACCACUAUUUAUUGAUAUUUUUUAAUAA